ACCACUAUUAACUGUUAUUUUAUUUUUUUUUGAAAUAUAAGUAGCACGCUACCUGUUUUGUUUAUUUCAUUUAGAAAUAAACUUAGCUGAAAAUAUGAAUCAACUAGCAUUCGAACUUGGGUCUCGGAUAUCAACCACCAAACUCUUUGCCACUUGCUCUGUAAACGGUUGGUACUAACUAUUAUUUGUUAGAAUCCAAUAGUUCCCUAGUUAGCAUUAGCAUGCAUCAACAUUUUGGAAUCAGCUUCGGGGCCUGGCUGUCCCACCCUUGUAGCCUAAUUCAUCAUUCCGUUGAAUGAAGCGGGUAGCGUGCUACCUUUUUCUCAAAAAAAAAAAAAAAAAAAAAUU
rnacentral:lncRNA from 1 species